GUCUCCAUCUCAGAACUGAGGGACAAUGCUCCAAAACUGUGAGCUUCUCAAAGAUGGUGCUAUAAUUUAUGCUGCUUUCUCUCUUUGGCAGCCUUUAAUGUUCCCAGGCUGACAGGAAUUGUAAAGAAUUACCACGGUUCCUAUCUUCAUGAAGUGAGAUAUGUUACCAAUUACCCAAGUAGCAGAUGGACAAGAUGUCUGGCCUUGGGCAAGUGGAGGUUAAAGAAUUCUUUAUGCUCUAAGGGACUGAACUCCAGUCAGCAAGCUUAGUGAUGCAAGACAAAGCAACCCACGGACAGGUAUUGCCAUCAAAGAUGUAACUCACAGAUAACAGCCACAGUGUUGAUACUGGCCACAUGUCUAGUCACAUAGAGAUGAAAGCACAAUUUUCUGGGACAAAAGUCUAAAGAUAUUUGCUAUCUAUUGACGUGAAAAUGGAAGAACUGAUGUACCUGACUAAAUGAUAAACUAUGCCUGAUGGUAGUAAGGAUGAGUCAAUCCUCACUGCACUCUGUAACAGCAGAGAUGUGAAACUAACCUCCAGGAAGAAAGCAGAGCCUAACAGAACAGAAGCAGUACCUGCAACAAGAUGAGGCUUUCUAAUUUCACUUUCAUUUCCCACAGUUACUACGGGCUCUUUUUUAAAAUCGCUUUUGCUUAAACUAAACACACAAGCAGCUCAUUUAGCAGACACAAUGGAUUAACUGACACUGUCUCUUUGUUAAAUAUACAACUGCUGCUGCCUCUGGCUGUUCCUACCUAAUAAAGAUCCCGAGGCAGCUGAAUGACAAGGCUUCUACUGCCAAUACUUUCAAGAAAACCUAAGAAUGAGAUGGUGAUAAGCUUUAAGAGAAGGCACUCAAGCUGCAAAGAGAGAGAACAUGGGCUCUGUGGGCGCAGGGAUCUUUGCCUUAUGUACUGAUGGAUCAUAACAAGCUGGAGCAGUUUCUUGUGUACAGCAGGUGCUUGAUAAAUGCGUGACACAAGCAAAGGUCUGUUUAUGGUACCCAACAAGAACAAGAGAGACAGCAAGACUUCAUUCCACCUUGAUGCUCCUUGAAGCAUAAAAAAUAUAUAAAAGCCAUAACAAGAAGACUGUUAUAAUUGUUUAUAUGAGGUUUAUGUCAUUUGAACUAGGUAUGGUGGUCAAUGUCUGUAAUUUCAGUGUACAUAAGGCUAAAGCAGUACGACUUGAA